rnacentral:rRNA from 1 species
UACGAAGGGGGCUAGCGUUACUCGGAUUGACUGGGCGUAAAGGGCGCGUAGGCGGUUUGUACAGUCAGACGUGAAAUUCCUGGGCUCAACCUGGGGGCUGCGUUUGAUACGUGCAGACUUGAGUUCGGAAGAGGGUCGUGGAAUUCCCAGUGUAGAGGUGAAAUUCGUAGAUAUUGGGAAGAACACCAGUGGCGAAGGCGACUUACUGGACACAUAUUGACGCUGAGGUGCGAAAGCGUGGGGAGCAAACAGG